GCAGUGGUGGUUCAGUGGUAGAACUCUCACCUUCCGUGCGGGAGACCUGAGUUCAAUUCCCAGACAAUACA
rnacentral:tRNA from 1 species